CCUGAUGGCUUAGACGGUAAAGCGUCUGCCUACAAUGUGGAAGACCAGGGUUCAAUCCCUGGAUCAGGA
rnacentral:tRNA from 1 species